UACGUAGGGUGCAAGCGUUGUCCGGAAUUAUUGGGCGUAAAGAGCUCGUAGGUGGCCUGUCGCGUCGGCUGUGAAAACUCGGGGCUCAACUCCGAGCUUGCAGUCGAUACGGGCAGGCUAGAGUUCGGCAGGGGAGACUGGAAUUCCUGGUGUAGCGGUGAAAUGCGCAGAUAUCAGGAGGAACACCAAUAGCGAAGGCAGCUCGCUGGGACGGUACUGACGCUGAGACGCGAAAGCGUGGGGAGCAAACAGG
rnacentral:rRNA from 1 species